rnacentral:rRNA from 1 species
UACGGGGGGUGCAAGCGUUGUUCGGAUUUACUGGGCGUAAAGGGCGCGUAGGCGGCCACCGCAAGUCGGUUUUGAAACCUCUGGGCUUAACCCAGAAAGGUCAACCGAUACUGCGGGGCUAGAGUGCAGAAGGGGCAACUGGAAUUCUCGGUGUAGCGGUGAAAUGCGUAGAUAUCGAGAGGAACACCUGCGGCGAAGGCGGGUUGCUGGGCUGACACUGACGCUGAAGCGCGAAAGCUAGGGGAGCGAACGGG